CUUGUUCUGCUUGAUGUUUCUGAAGUUGCCGUGCUGCAGUUGCGCACGCGAAACGCUCCGAGAAUAUCAGCUGCGUCUUAUUCCGCCUCACACUCUUCUAAUAAGCUCUCGAUAACAAGCUAAAAGUGCUGUUCGCCUGUCUGACCGUUUUUGGAGCGCAGCGGACCGCCGCGUCCUCCUCCCGCGUCUGGAGCUCCUGCGCCUCUCUGCGCUUUUUGGCACCAGCCACUUUGAGUCCAAUCAUGCAGGACGCGUGUCUAUUUGCUGCCGCAGAUUCUAAUUAGAGCCAAUCAUGAGAGUCCUUGCGCUCUGACAUCACGACCGAUGGCACACCUCCAUCCCAUCCCAUCCCAUCCCAAGCGGGCGUGCGAACUCAGCCUUCAUCUCUGAAUGAGUGAUGAUGGCACUGAUGCGCGCCGAUGAGAGGACAGACAGGAGGUGUUACUGAAGCACAUAUCCAGCAUGACAGUAGGGCACAGAGAACUGCAAAAGCAAGUCCUGCGGUAAUGCCUCGGCUGUGCCAGUUCCAAUCAGACCGACCCGCGCUGGUGAAGGUGAGCUGUACAACUGCAUUUGUGUUUGUCUGUGCUUUUCUAGUGCUUUCUGUCAGGUACAGUGCAAACCUUUCUGAUAGAA
ensembl:lncRNA